rnacentral:rRNA from 1 species
UACGUAGGGGGCAAGCGUUGUCCGGAUUCAUUGGGCGUAAAGAGCGUGUAGGCGGCCAGGUAGGUCGGUUGUGAAAACUGGAGGCUCAACCUUCAGACGUCGACCGAAACCAUCUGGCUAGAGUCCGGGAGAGGAGAGUGGAAUUCCUGGUGUAGCGGUGAAAUGCGCAGAUAUCAGGAAGAACACCCGUGGCGAAAGCGGCGCUCUGGAACGGUACUGACGCUGAGACGCGAAAGCGUGAGGAGCGAACAGG